rnacentral:piRNA from 1 species
CAGGAGAUGUGUGAAGAUUGCUUGUGGCUA